rnacentral:rRNA from 1 species
AGACUUCCUACGGAGCAGCAGUGGGGAUAUUGCACAUGGCAGCUUGAUGCAGGCCAUGGCGCGUGUGUGAAGAAGCCUUCGGUGUAAGCACUUCCAGUCGUGAAGAAGUAGUGUAGUUUAAUAGCUGCAUUAUUUGACGUUAGCGACAGAGGAAGCACGGGCUAACUCCGUGCAGCAGCCGCGGUAAUACGGAGGGUGCGAGCGUUAAUCGGAAUUUACUGGGCGUAAAGCGCAUGCAGGUGGUUGUUAAGUCAGAUGUGAAAGCCCGGGGCUCAACCUCGGAAUUGCAUUUGAAACUGGCAGACUAGAGUACUGUAGAGGGGGGUAGAAUUUCAGGUGUAGCGGUGAAAUGCGUAGAGAUCUGAAGGAAUACCGGUGGCGAAGGCGGCCCCCUGGACAGAUACUGACACUCAGAUGCGAAAGCGUGGGGAGCAAACAGGAUUAGAUACCCUGGUAGUCCACGCCGUAAACGAUGUCUACUUGGAGGUUGUGGCCUUGAGCCGUGGCUUUCGGAGCUAACGCGUUAAGUAGACCGCCUGGGGAGUACGGUCGCAAGAUUAAAACUCAAAUGAAUUGACGGGGGCCCGCACAAGCGGUGGAGCAUGUGGUUUAAUUCGAUGCAACGCGAAGAACCUUACCUACUCUUGACAUCCACACAACUUUCCAGAGAUGGAUUGGUGCCUUCGGGAACUCUGAGACAGGUGCUGCAUGGCUGUCGUCAGCUCGUGUUGUGAAAUGUUGGGUUAAGUCCCGCAACGAGCGCAACCCUUAUCCUUGUUUGCCAGCGAGUAAUGUCGGGAACUCCAGGGAGACUGCCGGUGAUAAACCGGAGGAAGGUGGGGACGACGUCAAGUCAUCAUGGCCCUUACGAGUAGGGCUACACACGUGCUACAAUGGCGCAUACAGAGGGCGGCCAACUUGCGAAAGUGAGCGAAUCCCAAAAAGUGCGUCGUAGUCCGGAUUGGAGUCUGCAACUCGACUCCAUGAAGUCGGAAUCGCUAGUAAUCGUGGAUCAGAAUAACACGGUUAGAGUUUGACCCGGCCUCGGGAUAAGUGGUAACAAGGUAACCAUGCUAUUAUGUUUGAUCCUGGCUCAGGAUAAGUCGUAACAAGGUAACCAUGCUAAGAGUGAG